GUCGACUGUACAAUCGCUUUAUUUAUAAAGAGGAAAGUCUGGGCUCCAAAGAGUAGAGUGCCAGGUAACUCCUGGGAAGUGUGAACUUACGGAAAGUGCAACAGAAAGUAAACCGCAAUAGAUAUUGUAAGGGUGAAAUGGUGAGGUAAGAGCUCACCGCAACUAUAGAGAUAUCGUUGGCAAGGCAAACCCCACUCGGAGCAAGGCCAAAUAGAAAAGUUAAAGUGUUACUCGCGCUGCUUUUGGGUAGGCCGCUAGAUAUAUUUGGUGACAAAUAUACAAGAUUAAUGAUUGUAUGAAACAGAACCCAGCUUAUAGGUCGACUCGC
rnacentral:RNase_P_RNA from 1 species